rnacentral:rRNA from 1 species
CUCUAGAGAUAGAGCUUCCCCUUCGGGGGCAAAGUGACAGGUGGUGCAUGGUUGUCGUCAGCUCGUGUCGUGCGAUGUUGGGUUAAGUCUCGCAACGAGCGCAACUCUGAUUAUUAGUUGCCUUCAUUAAGUUGGGCACUCUAGCCAGACUGCCGGUGACAAACCGGAGGAAGGUGGGGAUGACGUCAAAUCAUCAUGCCCCUUAUGACCUGGGCUACACACGUGCUACAAUGGGAAGUACAACGAGUUGCGAAGUCGCGAGGCUAAGCUAAUCUCUUAAAGCUUCUCUCAGUUCGGAUUGCAGGCUGCAACUCGCCUGCAUGAAGCCGGAAUCGCUAGUAAUCGCGGAUCAGCACGCCGCGGUGAAUACGUUCCCGGGCCUUGUACACACCGCCCGUCACACCACGAGAGUUUGUAACACCCGAAGUCGGUGAGGUAACCUUUUUGGAGCCAGCCGCCUAAGGUGGGAUAGAUGAUUGGGGUGAAGUCGUAACAAGGUAGCCGUAUCGGAAGGUGCGGCUGGAUCACCUCCUUUCUAAGGAA